rnacentral:rRNA from 1 species
UACGUAGGGUGCGAGCGUUGUCCGGAACUAUUGGGCGUAAAGAGCUCGUAGGCGGUCUGUCGCGUCUGCUGUGAAAUCCCGAGGCUCAACCUCGGGCCUGCAGUGGGUACGGGCAGACUAGAGUGCGGUAGGGGAGAUUGGAAUUCCUGGUGUAGCGGUGGAAUGCGCAGAUAUCAGGAGGAACACCGAUGGCGAAGGCAGAUCUCUGGGCCGUAACUGACGCUGAGGAGCGAAAGCGUGGGGAGCGAACAGG